UGAAAAGUAUAGUCGCGCGGUCCAUUAGUCACGGUCGUCGGUCCAAGUUCAUCUUGAACGGGGCCCCGCUUGUCCAGAGAGGGUGCCAGGCCCGUAGCGACGACGGCCGGCCGCGACGGUCUCUCUCCCGAGAGUCGGGUUGCUUGAGAGUGCAGCCCCAAGCGGGUGGUAGACUCCAUCUAAGGCUGAAUACGGCCACGAGACCGAUAGCGAACA
rnacentral:rRNA from 1 species